ensembl:rRNA 5S_rRNA 5S ribosomal RNA
AUCUACAGGCAUACCACCCUGAACACGCACAAUCUAGUCUGAUCUCGGAAGCUAAGCAGGGUUGGGCCUGGUUAGUACUUGGAUGGGAGGUGCUGUGAAAUAGGAUGCCAUGGCAC